rnacentral:rRNA from 1 species
GACGAACGCUCUUGGCGUGCUUAACACAUGCAAGUCGAACGGAAAGGCCCUGCUUUUGUGGGGUGCUCGAGUGGCGAACGGGUGAGUAACACGUGAGUAACCUGCCCUUGACUUUGGGAUAACUUCAGGAAACUGGGGCUAAUACCGGAUAGGAGCUCCUGCUGCAUGGUGGGGGUUGGAAAGUUUCGGCGGUUGGGGAUGGACUCGCGGCUUAUCAGCUUGUUGGUGGGGUAGUGGCUUACCAAGGCUUUGACGGGUAGCCGGCCUGAGAGGGUGACCGGCCACAUUGGGACUGAGAUACGGCCCAGACUCCUACGGGAGGCAGCAGUGGGGAAUAUUGCACAAUGGGCGGAAGCCUGAUGCAGCAACGCCGCGUGCGGGAUGACGGCCUUCGGGUUGUAAACCGCUUUCGCCUGUGACGAAGCGUGAGUGACGGUAAUGGGUAAAGAAGCACCGGCUAACUACGUGCCAGCAGCCGCGGUGAUACGUAGGGUGCGAGCGUUGUCCGGAUUUAUUGGGCGUAAAGGGCUCGUAGGUGGUUGAUCGCGUCGGAAGUGUAAUCUUGGGGCUUAACCCUGAGCGUGCUUUCGAUACGGGUUGACUUGAGGAAGGUAGGGGAGAAUGGAAUUCCUGGUGGAGCGGUGGAAUGCGCAGAUAUCAGGAGGAACACCAGUGGCGAAGGCGGUUCUCUGGGCCUUUCCUGACGCUGAGGAGCGAAAGCGUGGGGAGCGAACAGGCUUAGAUACCCUGGUAGUCCACGCUGUAAACGGUGGGUACUAGGUGUGGGGUCCAUUCCACGGGUUCCGUGCCGUAGCUAACGCUUUAAGUACCCCGCCUGGGGAGUACGGCCGCACGGCUAAAACUCAAAGGAAUUGACGGGGCCCCGCACAAGCGGCGGAGCAUGCGGAUUAAUUCGAUGCAACGCGUAGAACCUUACCUGGGUUUGACAUGGAUCGGGAGCGCUCAGAGAUGGGUGUGCCUCUUUUGGGGUCGGUUCACAGGUGGUGCAUGGCUGUCGUCAGCUCGUGUCGUGAGAUGUUGGGUUAAGUCCCGCAACGAGCGCAACCCUUGUUCACUGUUGCCAGCACGUUAUGGUGGGGACUCAGUGGAGACCGCCGGGGUCAACUCGGAGGAAGGUGGGGAUGACGUCAAGUCAUCAUGCCCCUUAUGUCCAGGGCUUCACGCAUGCUACAAUGGCUGGUACAGAGAGUGGCGAGCCUGUGAGGGUGAGCGAAUCUCGGAAAGCCGGUCUCAGUUCGGAUUGGGGUCUGCAACUCGACCUCAUGAAGUCGGAGUCGCUAGUAAUCGCAGAUCAGCAACGCUGCGGUGAAUACGUUCCCGGGGCU